UACUUAGCGGCGGACGGGUGAGUAACGCGUGGGUAACCUGCCUUACACUGGGGGAUAACAGUUAGAAAUGACUGCUAAUACCGCAUAAGCGCACAGGGCCGCAUGGCCUGGUGUGAAAAACUCCGGUGGUGUAAGAUGGACCCGCGUCUGAUUAGGUAGUUGGUGGGGUAACGGCCCACCAAGCCGACGAUCAGUAGCCGACCUGAGAGGGUGACCGGCCACAUUGGGACUGAGACACGGCCCAA
rnacentral:rRNA from 1 species